GAAUGGCUGGGUCUGACCGCUAGGUGGAUUAAUUUAGGUUUUAUAAAAUCGUUCAGAUUGCAGAUUAUAUGUACAGAAUUUUCGUUGGUUACCUCCGGUUUUUUGUCAAUACAAUAUUGUAAUGCUUCAAACAACCAAAUUAAUUUGUGUUCAGGUAGUUCCAAUUUCGGUGGUCAGAUUUGAAUCACUUUCGUUAGCUGAUUAUUUAAGUAAACCGUGGAUCGCUACGCAGCGAGUUUUUUCAAAAACCUAAAAACAUCUGUGAUUUAUCAUUUUGAGUAAGUAUGUUUCUUCGUUACGGUUCAACAAAGCAUCAUCAAUAUUUCGUCAACCAUAAAUCAGAUUUUUAGUUCCCAAUCGACAUUUUAUGAAGUUAAUCGUAUACAUGACGUUUCGAUUUGAUUUUUCCUUUGAGGCAAGAAAACUUCGAUGACUGUUGACAAAUUCCUAAUCUAUAAAGCCGUCUGAGCUAAUUAGAAGAUAAAUGUUGAUUUUGUUUUGCCUAUACAUAACCUCUCUGUCCAACAAGAAAUUCCCGUGACUAAAUACAUUUUUUCUAAAUUUAAGUUUCAGACCAAUAACCGUGAUAUUGCUUACUUAUAUAGCGAAUUAUCAUCCGCAGAGGAACAACCUAAAAAAGGAAGAAAAAAAAGAAGUUCUAAAAAACUGGCAUCUCCAGAGGAAUUUGCAUCACCCCGGAAAAUUCCAGACUUUCCAUUUGCACGAUUAAGCAACAUCGCAAAGUCUUCUGAAAUCCAUCAUGAUGACACGUGUGAAUAAAAAUACCGACGAUAUAUGAUUUGAAACAGUAACGGAAAGAGUGGUAUCUAUAAUUUUACAACCUAUAUAUACACACAUGGUGCAUCAGGUGGUGUUGAGAUACGAUGCACUCGUUCCCCCCCUCACAAGCCAAGGCAAGUGGCAAGCAAGGCAAGCAAAUCGGUGGCGUCUUCGGAGACAGAUGAAGCGAUUCUUGAUCUAACCACGUGUUCAUUGGCAACACCGCGGAACACGCAGAUUUCAGAACGUGCCGAUGAUAUUAUUUGUG